rnacentral:rRNA from 1 species
GAUGAACGCUGGCGGCGUGUCUAAGGCAUGCAAGUCGAAUGGUCUGGUUUCCAGGCCAUGGCAAACGGGAGAGUAACACAUUGGUAAUUUACCCCAAAGACGAGAAUAAUCCAGAGAAAUCUGGAAUAAUACUCGAUAUUAUGCAUUGUCGCCUGACAAUGCAUCAAAGCUCCGGCGCUUUGGGAGAAGCCUAUGGUCUAUCAGCUAGUUGGUGAGGUAAUGGCCCACCAAGGCGACGACGGAUAGCGGGUGUGAGAGCAUGACCCGUCUCACUGGGACUGAGACACUGCCCAGACUCCUACGGGAGGCUGCAGUCAAGAAUAUUCCUCAAUGGCCGAAAGGCUGAAGGAGCGACGCCGCGUGUAUGAUGAAGCCCUUCGGGGUGUAAAAUACUUUUAACCGGGACGAAGUACUGACGGUACCGGUUGAAUAAGGGGCUGCUAACCUCGUG